rnacentral:rRNA from 1 species
UGGGGAAUAUUGGACAAUGGGCGCAAGCCUGAUCCAGCAACGCCGCGUGAAUGAUGAAGGCCUUCGGGUCGUAAAGUUCUUUUGGCAGGGAAGAAAAUGACGGUACCUGCAGAAUAAGCUCCGGCUAACUUCGUGCCAGCAGCCGCGGUAAUACGAAGGGGGCUAGCGUUGUUCGGAAUUACUGGGCGUAAAGCGUGCGUAGGUUGUUAUUCAAGUUAGUGGUGAAAGCCCAGAGCUUAACUCUGGAACUGCCAUUAAAACUGAAUAGCUAGAGAGUGUUAGAGGUAAGUGGAAUUCCUAGUGUAGGAGUGAAAUCCGUAGAUAUUAGGAGGAACAUCAAUGGCGAAGGCAGCUUACUGGGUCACAUCUGACACUGAGGCACGAAAGCGUGGGUAGCAAACA